rnacentral:rRNA from 1 species
GAUGAACGCUAGCGGCAGGCCUAACACAUGCAAGUCGAGGGGUAACAGGUGUAGCAAUACAUGCUGACGACCGGCGCACGGGUGAGUAACGCGUAUGCAACCUACCCUUAACUGGGGGAUAGCCCGGAGAAAUUCGGAUUAACAUCCCAUAAAACUGCAGUAUCGCAUGGUACAGCAGUAAAAAUUCCGAUGGUUAAGGAUGGGCAUGCGUGACAUUAGUUAGUUGGUGAGGUAACGGCUCACCAAGACUACGAUGUCUAGGGGGCCUGAGAGGGUAGUCCCCCACACUGGUACUGAGACACGGACCAGACUCCUACGGGAGGCUG